rnacentral:rRNA from 1 species
AGUGAACGCUGGCGGUAGGCCUAACACAUGCAAGUCGAACGGCAGCACAGUAAGAGCUUGCUCUUACGGGUGGAGAGUGGCGGACGGGUGAGGAAUACAUCGGAAUCUACUUUUUCGUGGGGGAUAACGUAGGGAAACUUACGCUAAUACCGCAUACGACCUACGGGUGAAAGCAGGGGAUCUUCGGACCUUUCGCGAUUGAAUGAGCCGAUGUCGGAUUAGCUAGUUGGCGGGGUAAAGGCCCACCAAGGCGACGAUCCGUAGCUGGUCUGAGAGGAUGAUCAGCCACACUGGAACUGAGACACGGUCCAGACUCCUACGGGAGGCAGCAGUGGGGAAUAUUGGACAAUGGGCGCAAGCCUGAUCCAGCCAUACCGCGUGGGUGAAGAAGGCCUUCGGGUUGUAAAGCCCUUUUGUUGGGAAAGAAAAGCAGCAGGUUAAUACCCCGCUGUUCUGACGGUACCCAAAGAAUAAGCACCGGCUAACUUCGUG